AGAUAGCACUCUAACGAGGCUUGUUAUAUUAUAAUAAAAUGUAAAGAACUUAGCAAUUAUAAUUCAUCCGAUUACCCGGUAAAUAAUCCAAAGUUUAAAAUAUUCAAUAAUUUCUUUUUACGGAAACUUCGUAUUUCCGUUGAUUAAAAUAAAUGAAAUACAUGCUCAGAAGAAUGGAAUGAAUGAGUUUAUAAUGAAUAACAAUUCAAUAAGAAAUAAUAAUUUCUGCAAGGCAAAAAGUGGUGAUAAAAAAGUUAUCGAAUAUAAUUACAAUGGAAUAAAAAAACCAAAUAAUAUUAAUGACUCAUUUCAGAUGUGCGACAAUAAAAUAAACAAUAAUGUUUUUUUCAGUUACAUUGACACCCAUAAAUUGCAUCUAUGGUUUUUAUAAAUUUCUACAUGUGCAUAUUUUGGAUUUUUUAUUCUUGUAAAUGAUUUUGUUGAAAAAAAAAUUUGAAAAUUGUUAAUUGUCUGCUAGCUUCAGGGUCAUGUAAAAGUCAUAGUUAUUGACACCGUAAAAAGCAUGAAAUUUAAAAAUUUUUAAAUAUUCAAAGGACGUUAAGUAAUUAUUUCAAUUAAAAUUGAAGUGACAAUAAUUGGAUCUAUUACUUAAUAAUUUAAAAUAUUAUAAAUUGCAAUAUAAAAAUGAAUAUGAAUAAUGAUAUUGAUGCUAUCAAAAUUGAAUUUAAUGAAAAUUCAACAAUUUUAGACCCCGAAUAUCAUGAAACAACAGUUGUUGAUAAGAAAAAUAUGGAAGAUUUGGACGCAACAAUAAUUAAUGCUCCAAUUGUGAAAGAUACAAUAGAAUUGUUUAAAAAUAAUUUAAACCCACAAGUUGACAAUAAUCAUAAUUAUUGUUCAGUAUUUAAUUUAUACGAGAGUGAUUUACAUCCAAGCAACAAAACUUGGAUAACUCGAAACAAUUCUUUGUCUUCCGUAAAUUCUGAUCAGGCAAGUUUGCUAACUGAUGAUUUUUUUAUUUAUACUGAAAAUGAACACCACGACAAAAAUUAUGAUUUGUUGAGUUACAUUAAGAUUACAAAAGUUGAAUCGUUAAGUGGAAGAAAUAAUUCAUGGACAGAAACUGUAGAUGAAAAUAAUAAUGAAGAAUAUAAUAUCAUAUACGAUAUUAAAAAAGAAAAUUUCGAUUAUAAUGACAAAACUGAUGAAAGUGAUAAAAUUAUUGACGAGCAAAAUCAGUUUAAAAAAUGUAUUGAAAUGGCUGCUUCAUCGACGCCAGUUAAUAAUACUUCACCUGCAAAUAACCUUUUAGUUUCAAAUGAUAAUUUUAAAAAUAAUCAAAUUUCGUCAGUAGAAACUCGUUUAAGUAAUCAAAAUCAGAUUAAAGUUGAAGGUGAUAAAAAUUCUUUUGAAAGUUUUCAUCAUAUACCGAAUAUUUCAAAGUCUUUUCUUCCUAUUGUUCUGCUGGAAAGAAUUGAAGUGCCUGAAAAAGUUAUAGAAACUUCAAAUUCAGUUAUGAAGACUCAUGAAAAAAAAUUAACAAAAGUAUUAUUUAAAAGUAAGACUAAUAAACCAGUUGAUUCAGAGAAGCCAUUAAAAAAUUAUAAACGGCAUCGUGGUAUUGGUGAACGAUCUUGUAAGGAGUGUGGUUACUUAGCCCGCAGUAAAUACUACUUGAAUAUUCAUAUGCGAAAACAUAGUCAUGAGAAAUCUAUGCAGUGUCCAGAAUGUCCACUUAAAACUUCUUAUAAAUCUAAUUUGACAUUUCACAUGCGUCGGUUUCAUCCAGAUCAAAUGGUUAGUUGUAAGUUUUGUGAUUCUAAGUUCAUAACAGCAAAUGAUCUGAGAGAACAUAUGCGCAUUCAUACUAAAAGAAAUCCAAUCACGUGCGAUAUUUGUAAAAAAACGUUUGGAAAUUUUUUUUUUUUAAAACGACAUAUGAUUUCUCAUUCUGAAGAAAAACCGCAUGAGUGUCCAGAAUGUCCAUUUAAAACUUCUUAUAAAUCUAGUUUGACAGGUCACAUGCGUCGAUUUCAUCCAGAUCAAAUGGCUAGUUGUAAGUUUUGUGAUUCUAAGUUCAUAACAGCAAAUGAUCUGAGGGAACAUAUGCGCAUUCAUACUGAAAACACGUGCGAUAUUUGCAAAAAAAAGUUUAGAAAUUUAUAUAAUUUAAAACAACAUAUGAUUUAUCAUUCUGAAGAGAGACCGUAUGAGUGUAAUAUUUGUCACAAUGAAUUUAAGAGAGCUGAUGACCUGACAUCUCAUUUGGGACACGCACAUAGUUAGACACAGCAAGGCAUUCAUGUAAAAGUUGUUCAAGGGAAUUCACGCGUAAUUAUCAUCUUAAUACGCACUUAAAACGUCACUCUAAAAAAAGACAUAAAUGUGAAAUUUGUAAACGGGAUUUUCUUCAUUUACACUCUCAACACAUGAAACUUCACAAGCCAUGUUCACCCGGCGAAAUAUUAAAGUGUAAAUUUUACCAUGAAAGUUACAAUGAUCAAUUCAGUUUACGAAACCAUCUUAUAAUUCACAAACAAGGAAAAAUUUAUAAAUGCAACGUAUGCUGUUACAAAACAUCAGAUUCACUUGCGUUAAUAGAACAUGCCGACGACCAUACGAAUAAUAUAUUAUGUAUUUGUUACAAAUGUGGGCAUUCAUUUGAAGACAAAAAGUUUUUAAGACAACACAUGAUUCAGGAUCAUAUUAAAAACACCCAGGCAUCAAAAAGAAAGGGACAAAAAAUAAAUUAAAAUUUAUUUGCUUUAUUUAAGCGAUUAAUGUGUACAUUUGUGAUAAUAAUUUAUUGACAUAUAUCAACAAUUGUUGAAUUACAAUUUUAGCAAAAUAUAAUCAGAACCAAAUAAAAAAGAAACGUCAGCCAACGAACUAACGAGUAGAUAAAAAAUUUAUCUUGAUGUAAAUACUGUGUGGAGUAUCACAGAAUUUUGAUUUGAUUUUUUUUUUUUAGAUCUGUACACUUAAAGAUUUUUUAUUAUGUUUUAUAAUUAAUUUUGGUUAAAUACAAUUUAGGUAACAGAUCCACUAACCAUUUCGAGAUUUAAAAAUAAAAAUACGAUAAAAUGAAAAUCUGCCAAACAUUAUGAAUUGAUUUUUUAAAUGUUUUAUUUUAAAUUUAUUUAUCAUGAAAUUUAUGUUUUAAUAUUCACGUUGAAUGAAAUGGUGGCCAUUAAUUUUGGGGAGUAAUGAAUUUCCUCUACAGAAACAUUAUUCUUGUUUGAAUUACUAUGAAAUCAUCGUAACGCCAGACUAUUUCGAUUACCUAUAACGGAAAUUUAAAUAAAUAUGUUUUAAAAAUUAUGACGGCCAUAGUAAAAUUAAAAACCGCUACGGGAGGAUUUUCCAAAGCAUUUUGCCACACCCCAUCAUAACUCGUCGAGUAGGUUCCAAAAAUACCAUUUGUUCAAAAGUUUAUAUAUAAAUGGGAUAUUGUCACUCGGAUGCUAGCCAAAGUUUUCAUCAACUGAUUGAGAUUAAACAUCAUACUUAUUGUUUGGGCGAUUACCUUGAUCGAGUUUGAAAAUGAGCCAAUUCGGCCAAUAAACUUAGAAGUAGUGCAUGUUCGAAAUUUUCGAAAAAUUUAUUUUUGUUAAUUUAUCUGGACGUAACUGUUAAUUACUUACUCCAGUUAUUCAAGUUAUUACUUAAAUUUCAACAAUUUAUUUAAAUUAUUGUGAUUCAAACUUCAUGUUACAAACUUUUAAUGUUGUUUGGUAUUAUUGUAACUUUUAACAAUUCAUUAA